AUGAGGAUCGUCACGCCCGCACCGGCCAGCCAGGGUUUUGCCGUGGUCAGGGAGCUCAGCGUCGGGGACCCCGACCUCGACGCGGUCAAGGUUUCCCUCGGCGUCCUCGGCGUCGUGUCCCAGGUUACUCUCGCCUUGCAGCCGAUGUUCAAGCGAUCAGUGACGUUUGAGAAGCGCGACGACACGGACUUCGCAUCGCAGGCGGCCAUGUGGGGCGGGCUGUACGAGUUCGGUGACAUGGCGUGGCUGCCGCGGCAAGGCAAGGUGAUCUACCGCAAGGACGAUCGCGUACCCGUCUCGACCAAGGGCAACGGCCUCAACGACUAUCUCGGGUUUCGAUCCAACCCGACGCUCGCGCUCAUAACCGCCAGAGCCACGGAGGAGCACCUGGAGGAGGACGGCAGCGACAUCGCCAGGUGCCUGGCGGCGCGGGCGCCGUCCGUGCUGUUCGAGCUGCAGGCCUACGGCUUCACCAACGACGGCUCAUUCUUCACAGGGUGGCCGGUAGUGGGGUUCCAGAACCGCAUCCAGGCGUCCGGCACGUGCAUCAGCAGCCCGGAGGACGGCCUCCUCUCCUCCUGCACGUGGGACCCACGCAUCCGGAGCCCCUUCUUCUACAACUCCGGCUUCAGCGUGGCGCUCUCGAAGGAGCCGGCGUUCAUCGCCGAGAUGCAGAAGCUCCGCGACCUCAAGCCACGCGCCUUCUGCGGCCUCGACGCCAAGCUCGGCGUGCUCCUCCGCUACGUCAGGGCCUCUUCCGCUUAUCUCGGGAAAUCUGAGGACUCGAUCGACUUCGACGUCACCUACUACCGGAGCUACACUGAGGGCGAGCCGCGCGCUAACUCCGACGUGGUCGACGAGAUCGAGCAGCUGGCGCUGCGCAAGUACGGCGCCGUCCCACACUGGGGCAAGAACCGCAACUUCGUCUUCGACGGCGUCAUCGCCAAGUACCCCAAGGCCGCUGAGUUCCUCAAGGUGAAGGCCAGGUACGAUCCCGACGGGAUCUUCUCCAGCGAGUGGAGCGACCAGGUGCUCGGCAUCAAAGGGAGCCCCAACAUCGUCGAGAAAGGGUGCGCCAUUGAAGGGCUCUGCGUCUGCUCCAAGGACUCGCAUUGCGCGCCAGAGAAGGGCUACUUCUGCCGGCCGGGAACGGUGUUCUCGGAGGCGAGGGUCUGCUCGACCCGGGCCGCUUUCGGCGACGAAAGCGACGACCUUCUGGAGGAACAGUGA
rnacentral:rRNA from 1 species